ensembl:lncRNA
GUUCGAUUCCUGGUCAGGAAACUAGAUCCCACAUGUUGCAACUAGGAGUUCAAAUACUGCAACUGCAAAAAGAUAUCCUGCAUGCCACAACAAAGACUGAAGAUCCCAGUAUAGGAUCUUUUCACAUGGGCUUCCUUCACUUAGUAAUAUUAUGCGUUUAAUGUCCCUGUGUGUCUUUUCAUGGCUUGACGGUUUGUGCCUUUUUAGUACCGAAUAGUAUCCCAUUCAAAGAAGGCAAUGGCACCCCACUCCAGUGUUCUUGCCUGGAGAAUCCCAUGGACGGAGGAGCCUGGUGGGCUACCGUCUAUGGGGUCGCACAGAGUCGGACACGACUGAAGCGACUUAGCAGCAGCAGCAGCAGCAUUCCAUUGUCUGAAUGUACCACAGUUUAUGAGUUCCUCCACCUGCUGAAGGACAUCUUGAUUGCUUUCAGGUUUUGGCGAUUAUGAACAAAGCCUCCAUAGACACCAGCAUGCACAUUUUUGUGUGGACAUAAGUUUCCAACUCCUUUGGGUAAAUCCUGAUGGAAUAACUUGGUUCGUGGCCAUUCUGCUUCCUGGUUCAUGACCCAGCAGGAAGGACCUGGAGAGGAGACGCACAGUCAAGGGCAGGACCAGAGGUGAUGUGGAUCUGGGCACCAACAGACAACUGGGAUUUUAAAAGGUAAAAACGGCCAUCAAAAACAGAGACUGGGAUCAGAGACCUUAGAGCUAUCGUUUGACCCAAGCUUCCGGCCCUCUCAGCAAGAGGAUGUUCACAGACUGCCUUGGGACAGGAGCCCCAGAGCGGUGCAGGAGGCCUCACCCCGCAUCCCCACCCUGCUACAGCAGCACUGUCUCUGUGACUUCCCUGCCACCAUCUGCCAUCUAACUUCUGCAACCCACAUCUUUAUGUGCAUCUGAAUUCUCAAAAGCCAUGCAAAGAUAUUGCCUGGGUUCCGAAUCUGCUAUGCAGCAUAUACUCCGUCAAUUCAGCCCCAAUUUUUCGGAACUUUAGCCUUGGUACUUUAGCACUGACUGAAAAAAAAAGGCAGAAAUUUUUAGGAAACAAAUAAUUUAAGGCAUUAGUUUUGUAUUAAGAAUCAGAUGCAGCUGUAUUACUAAGGAAAAUGUGAAAUGUAGGUGACUUUUAAAGAGAAAAUUAAAAGUAGCAGAUUGGUUUUCAUCUUCCUGGUAAGCUUCAGAUGAGAUACCCCCCCAAAAAACACCCCCCCCCACACCGUGCCCCUCCCUUCCCGAAGCCCCCAAGAUUGAGUAUUCAUUUUUAGUUGCCCUGAGGGAUACUGUUGUGGAAAAGUUUGAGAAGUUCUGCUUUACAAAGACUCCCUUGAGCCUCAUAGCCAUUGGUCAUUAGGCAAGAAAACACAGCCAGUUCCUUCUGUCCUGGGCUGCCUUCCAUUACUGUCCACCCAUGACCAUGGUCUGUGCGUUGAUGGGCAGGGUCUUCGGAGUUGAGGUCUCCCUUGGCAGAAUGUCCCCUGUAGUUUUAGCCCAGGAGCCCAUGUUGUGUGGUUUUUCAAGGCUAAAUUAGAGACCACCCUAGAAUUUGGGGGCUGAAAUGAGGCCUUUUCCUCUCUCUGUCUCAUCUGCUUUGGGGGUAGUGGGGAGUCAGACCUCUGACAGGCUCAGUUUGGGAGCCCAAUGAAGCAACCAACAGAAUCCACACCUCUAUGCAUAGGCAGAAUGGAAUCUUUGCAAAUCUUUGAAUAAAAUUUUUCUUAUUGUACUGGAUUUUUAAAAGGAGAGAACACAUUUCCAUCGUCCCUCCCCUGUCUUUCACUGUCUCCCAGAGUUUGCUCAAACUCAUGUCUAUUGAGUCUGUGAUGCCAUCCAACCAUCUUAUCCUCUGCUGCCCACUUCUCCUCCUGCCCUCAGUCUUUCCCAGCAUCAGGGUCUUUUCCAAUGAGUCAGCUCACUGCAUCAGGUAGCCUAAGUAUUGGAGCUUCAGCUUCAGCAUCAGUCCUUCCAGUGAGUAUUCAGGGUUGAUUUCCUUUAGGAUUUACUGGUUUGAUCUCCUUGCAGUCCAAGGGACUCUCAGGAGUCUUCUCCAGCAAGGGUGUGAGAGAAGGAGAGAAACUGGGGAGAAUUCCAAGGGGAGACAGCCAGCUUCUGACGUGGCUCCUAAAGACCCCCGUCUCCUGGCUGUCACAUCUCUAUAACUCCACUCCUCUUGAGUCGAGGCUGGACCAGGUGACUUGCUUCUGAUGACUAGGAUAUGGCAAAGUUGAUGGAAUGGCACUUCUGUGAUUAGGUUACAAAAGACUGUGACUUCCUCUUGCUGGCAGAUUCUCACUACUGCCCUCUCAGCUUGCACCCUUCAAUGAAGCAAGAUGCCUUACUUGUGAGGUCCACAUGUCAAGGAUCCAAGGGUAGCCCCUGGCCAACAACCAGUGAGGAACUGAAGCCCUCAGUCCAACAGCCCAUGGAGAACUAGAUCCUGUCAACAACCACGUGAGCUCAGGCUCCAGGGACUGUAACCCACCAGGAUCCUCUGUCCAUGGAAUUUUCCAGACAAGAAUACUAGAGUGGAUUGCCAUUUCCUCCUCCAGGGGAUCUUCCCAACCCAGGGAUUGAACCUGUGUCUCUGGCGUCUCCUGCAUUGCCAGGCAGAUUCUUUACCACUGUGCCACCUGUGUAGCAGAGACUAUGCUAGAUCUUCACUAUACCUGUUUUCCUUCACCUCCUGGAUCCAUGGCUGGAUGCAGAGAAUCCAAGAGAGGCCCUGAGGCUCCAGGAAAUGAUGGAACCUUUCCAUGGAAAAAGCCUGUGUCCUGGAGUGACUUUGUGGAGAAUCCCCACCUGCCCAUCACCUACAUAAAAUUGUGACAUGACAAUGAAUAAACCUAGACCAUGUUGUUUCUGCAGUAAUUAGCAUUCCCUGCCUUGACUCACCUACCCAGCAUUCCCUGCUUUGACUCACCUACCCAGCAUUCCAUGCUCUGACUUACCUACCCAGUAUUCCAUGGCACCCAACUCCAGUACUCUUGCCUGGAAAAUCCCAUGGAUGGAGGAGCCUGAAAGGCUGCAGUCCAUGGGGUCGCUGAGGGUCUGGCAUGACUGAGCGACUUCCCUUUCACUUUUCACUUUCAUGCAUUGGAGAAGGAAAUGGCAACCCACUCCAGUGUUCUUACCUGGAGAAUCCCAGGGAUGGGGGAGCCCGGUGGGCUGCUGUCUAUGGGGUUGCACAGAGCUGGACACAACUGAAGUGACUUAGCAGCAGCAGCAUUCCUUGCCCUGACCUGCAUACCCAGUAUUUCCCAACAUCUGAUAACCAAGAUGAUUUAGAUGGUAUCCAAUUACAAACUUUAAAUUGUAACACACUUAUUUUAUAGGUAUUAGAAAAAAUAUAGACAUACACAGAAAACUAGAUCACCAGUCUUAUGAUUUCAGAGAUGUCAUUACUCGGGACAAGGGCUGAUUUAAUGAAUUGAGUCAGUUAAAAAUGCUGAGUAAACACAGAACAGGUGUUAAGUGAAAAUGGUAACAGUGCACACACAUGCUGGCUUACUUUGUGAAGUGGUCGUGAGACUAAAAAGACAUGAUGCAAGCAAAGUAACUCUCCUAGGCCUGACGCAUAGGAAGUGAAUGAUAAAUGGUAGCUCUUAUCAUGUAGCUCACGAACCUGUAACAUAGGAUUUACACACUGCAUCGUGUGGCCGGCUUAUUGUUUACUUGUUCAUCACCCCUGCUCACACUGAAUGCCUUAGGAGUAGGGAUCUAUCUUAUCUCUCA